GGCAGUGUGCCAGAGUGGUUAAUGGGUAUGACUCGAAUUUAUUCGCAAUCAUAUGGCUUCGGCCGCACAGGUUCGAGUCCUGUCACUGUCG
rnacentral:tRNA from 1 species